AAUUUAGCUAGCUGACUGUUUCAGCUCUCGGUGAAGCGCGGUCUUCUUAUAAUACUAAGCUACAGCGUGGUAAGACUAUUUAAAGCGUGUUAAUGGCGAAUGACGCUGUAAGAUAGCUAACGCUAGCGAGCUAGCGAGUGGAGGAUAGCUGGCUAAGCUAAUUAGCUACAGUUAGCCCGAUUACCUGCAGCAGCUGCUCGUUCAGAAACAAAACACCCAGCGCUGUUUAAGAGCUGCUUCACGAGCUCCUCUCCCAGCACAGGGUGUUUUUCUCAAUCAGCAGCUGCUUUUAAACCACGCUGUAGUUCAGUAAUAAGAUCGCGCUUCACCGAGAGCUGAAACAGCCAGUUAGCUAACGCUAGUUAAAAUACCUGACAGGACUGAAAGAGCGCCUCUCGGUUCUCCGGUCUAAUCCUGAGGGGAUUUUGUAGAUAUUUAACUUCUAGCCUCAUAAUUAAUACUGAACUAAAGUAUGGUAACUGGUUAAUGUUAAAAAGUCAACUCUCAUUUUACCAAAACUCAUUUGAUUAAUUUAGAUUUAAAUUAGCAAUUUAAAAAUAAAUAGACAAAAAAAUAAUAAUAAUAAUAAAAUAAUAAGGGGGGGGCGCCAGAAUUAGCGGCCGUCUGCGCAUGCGCCAGAAUUAGCGGCCGUCUGCGCAUGCGCCAAAAUUAGCGGCCGACUGCGCAUGCGCCAGAAUUAGCGGCCGUCUGCGCAUGCGCCAAAAUUAGCGGCCGUCUGCGCAUGCGCCAGAAUUAGCGGCCGUCUGCGCAUGCGCCAGAAUUAGCGGCCGUCUGCGCAUGCGCCAGAAUUAGCGGCCGUCUGCGCAUGCGCCAAAAUUAGCGGCCGUCUGCGCAUGCGCCAGAAUUAGCGGCCGUCUGCGCAUGCGCCAGAAUUAGCGGCCGUCUGCGCAUGCGCCAGAAUUAGCGGCCGUCUGCGCAUGCGCCAGAAUUAGCGGCCGUCUGCGCAUGCGCCAGAUUUAGCGGCCGUCUGCGCAUGCGCCAGAAUUAGCGGCCGUCUGCGCAUGCGCCAAAAUUAGCGGCCGUCUGCGCAUGCGCCAAAAUUAGCGGCCGACUGCGCAUGCGCCAGAUUUAGCGGCCGUCUGCGCAUGCGCCAGAAUUAGCGGCGGUCUGGUUAGGACUCGCUGCUGUUGGAUCUCUCCGUUAAAAUGAAUGGGAUGCGGUUGUGCCAGUGGACGCAGUCACUGGAUUAACUGGAGCUGUAUCUGGAUUUAAUAAAAAAUAUAUAUAUAUUUUGUUGUGGAUUUGACAUGAAGCAAAAGGCCCAGUCCUAGAAGACCCAGCAUCUUCAGGGUCCUGGAGCUCCAGCAGCAGCACUUGCCACUCCACCUUCUCCAUCCCCACCCGAAAGAGGAAGAUCAGCAGCAGUGGAGUGUUCCAGGAUGUUAAGAGGAGGAGAGGAGAGGGAGAGCAGAUCAAAGCGGUGAGAAGUGACCACUUGCUGGAGGGAGCUGCUGGACUGGUUUGAGCUUCAGGAAGAGGUUGUGUUGGUGAUGGAGCGUCCAAUGCCCUUCUCUUCGAUUACAUCCAGGCCAGCGAGAGACACCUUCGGGAGGAUGAAGCCAAGAUGAGAGACAACAAAUUAAGCAUCUGCUGAAGCUGGUGUUCAUUUUAGAAACAGACGUCUCUCUUCACCCUUAAUGUAGCAUCUACCCACUGGAUACCCAUAGACCACUGCAGUCAUGCAUCAUUCUGAAGUCCUCAUAUACCCAUAUUUGGGGUUCCGUGUCUAAGUUGAAUUUCUAUAUGCUUUAAUAAUCAUAUAUAAAUGAUGUAUUAUAUCUUGACAUUUAUCUUUUAGUGUGUUCAUAUUAACUGUUUUUCUAUUUCAUGUAUUAAGUUGUAGUUUUAAUAUUUUUUUGCUUUUAUUGCUGAAUUUUAUUCCAUUUAUUCUUUGUAUUUGCAUGGCUUUGAUUACUCUUUUAUGCUUGUUACCUUUUUGUUUAAUUGUAUGUAUUUGUUAAUGUUUCUAUUUUGUGAUUAAAUUAUAUUUUGUUUUUUUCUUUUAAUGCUUUAAACAUUAUUUAUUUUAAUCCAUACUUUUUCAUAUUCUUCUACACUAAUAUUAUAUGUAUUUAAAUCUAUUAUUAACUAUUUUCAUCUUUGUUUAGCACAGUAGUAUUGUAAUCUAUCAGUUCAAUAGAUUUGUAAAAAAAAUUGUUGUGUGUGUUUUAUUUAUUUAUUUUUUGGGUAGAUUUAUUUUUGUAUCUGUUUUCAUCCUAAGGAGUAUGGGUUCCUGCUUCGAGUCUGGUUCUUCUCAAGGUUUCUUCCUUUCUUUGAAAGGCUUGCUGCUGACUAACUCAAACGAGGCUUGAACACAUUUAAAAAAUGUUUAAUGUCUUUGUAAAUUGCUUUCUAAAUAAAUGUUUUUCAUUGUUA